UGCUACAUUUUACAUAUCUGCUUUUUGAGGAAUAAAUACCAGAAAGAAGUGGCCUACAUAAAUCCAAAUGGCUUUAGACAUUUCAAGUACUGGAAAACAAGAUUAUAACUAUUUAUGAAGAAAUGGAACAUCCUUGCUGAAAUCAUCCUGCAACAAGUUGUGCUUUCAUUUAUAAUUGAAAACACCAAACUCUAAUGCUUGAAAAUAAAAUCUAAUAAUCUGUAGUUGGUUGAAUUCAUGGAUGAAGAACCCAUCAAUAUGGAGGACUGACUGUAGCUUUCUUGUUGGUCUGCGUAUUUAAGAAGCUGGUGGGCCUUUAUCACUCUCUGCUGCCUCAACGGCCAGCUGAAUACUGAGGACUAUCAUGACCCAGAAAAGUCUCUAGCCCCAAGAGAAAAGGAAGGACGUUGAGGCUCUGAAUCACAGCAUGGUAGCCUACCCACCAUGCUAGCAAUAAACUUUUACUCUGUGAAGCCACUGAAUACUUUAUGAUUGUUAUUUACAGAAGCUAGCAUUAACCUAACUAAUAAAAGGGUUUUAAAGUUU